rnacentral:lncRNA from 1 species
UACAUGCAUGCUCCAUCCUUCUGUGAAAUGAAACCUUCUAUUUCUUUCUGAAAGAGUAUACGUCUUGUAUCCUUUAUUACUUGCAUUUUCAAUCAUCUCAAACUGAUCGAAGGAGAGGGAGCUAGAGAAAUAAGCGAUAAAAAGAGGUUGGAAUCCUGUCGCAGGAGAGAUGGCACUACCUAGCUUUACGCAUACGUACCGAGAUAUAUACGUACGUGGUAAAUAUAUAUAGAUGAGCUAUUGAUGGUGUAGCAGCUAGCUUGUGCCAUCCUCCUGUGACAGUAAUCCCUGCAACUUCUUAAUUUUGUGCCUGUGUGUCCAAUUACAAGGGGGCAAACUACAGAUACACAUUGGUAAUUAACUCUCUCUUUGCUGAUAUGACCAUGAUGCCAUAUUAAGUCUCAAAUUUAAAUGAAGUGACAGAAGAGCUACCUUAAAAUUGAAUAUACAUUCUUGUAUGUAUGUUAACUAUGUUUUCAUGGCAGCUCUUAGAUUAUGUAUAUAUGCUUGCGGAGGUCAACAUCUGUCUGUGAGACUGUGACCAUGAUCUCCAACCCCAAACAAAACCCCAAGCUCUUCCCGCUCUCUCUUCCUUCUUAUUUCGGGCUUUGAUCGGUGAGGGGUUUCGAGCAUCUUUGACCCCCGACGACGUUGACCAUUGCUCCGGCCACCGGAGUUGUUUACGUUAUUCUGAAUCCCUCUUCAACAUUUUCAGGGCUAAAUUCUUAUUCCAUGCAUGUACUAAUUAAUCUGGGUAUCAUUGUAUUCUCAUUUUCAGACCAGCAGAAUCCAUUGUUCUGUACAAAGAAUUGAUAUUGAUUUUGCCUCUGUUCACUUUUGAAGUACCCAUUUUUGGGUGGUAAUCAUUUUGCCUUGUGUUUUGGAAAAAUUGACUCUUAAUUGUGUAUGAAUGAGAUUUGAACAGUGUGGAAUUUGGGUUUAAGAUGAGUGUUGUUGUUUAGUCUGCUUAAUGUCUGUUUUGUUAGGGAGAAGCUUACAAAGUUGGCAUGCCUUCCAAUUUAAGAGAACAUUUUUCCAUUCCAUGUUUUGACUAUACAGUAUGUGAUAGAUUCUAGAGAAAUCAUACUCAAUCAGAACAUAAACAAGCUUUUUGGAAGCUUUAUUCAUUCCAGAAGUGGUCCUUUUCCAUCUAUAAAUGAUUUAUCGCUGUCUAGAAAUUUCAAGACAAGAUACUCUUGAAGUGCCUCACAUCCUUAAAUGUUACAUCACCAGCCUAAGGAUAUGUAUGUCCUUACAGCAUGGUUAUUUCCUGGCUGUAAAAUUAUCUAAUGGAAGUUUUUUAUUUUUUUAUUAUUUUUUUUUUCUCACUGGGAUUCUCAUAGCAUAAGAGUAAUCAGUUAGUUUUGUUUAGGUGUUGUAGUUUACUGAUAACAUUUGUAUUCUUAAUAACUUAUGCGUACCUGCAUGUAACUCAUCAUUGACAUCAAUCAAUUAAUGUUAAGUUUUGCAGCUUGGAAAAUUCGAGGAUGGAUUUACCAGAACCCAAGAAUACCUCUACUUCAGAGGAGACUGAUGACACUAUUACUGCCUCCAUCGGACUAAAAAAGGAAGCAUGGAUGAACAAGUAUGGAGCGCAUAGUGAACCGAGCAGUUAGAGGUAAGAAAGCAGUACCAUGGUUGGUUUGUUUUUUUUUNNNNNNNNNNNNNNNNNNNNAAAAAAAAAAAAAAAUCAAGAAAUAUUUACAUUGCAGAUAGAAGUGGGUAUAUAUACCAUUUUAUGUAUUUGGGACUUCUUGUUUAAUGACGCGCACCUCAGAUUGAGGAUAAAAGAGGCUCUACGGUUUCAUAUCACAAGAGGAAUGACACCUUAGACCAGUAGUACGUAGUGUACAUUCACACCACAUAAACUUGAGUACUCAAAGGUGAUGCCGUAUCUCCUGUCCUGCAUGUGACUAUAUAUAUAAAUCCCCGGCCCCAACCCUUUUCCUCUCAUCUUCUUUGAUAGAAACCAUGGAUUGUUGUAGAUAAUCUGCAGAAAAUGAAAUUAAAACGUAGAAAAAAAAACAAUAUACGGACUACAUCGUGUAUUCAAUCGCCAUGGGGAUCAUGAUGUACAUCACAGCCUAUUUAUAGGCAAAUAGGGAUUAACAAGCUAAUGAUUGAACUACGUACCUUUAUAUAUAACAUUCUCUAGGUUUUCCUAUGAUGUAGAGGAAAUUAUACAGUAGAAUGGAUAAAAAGCUGGAGGGUUUCUAUGUCACAGGAGGAUGGAACAUGCUGCUCUUAUUAUACAUAGAACUGAAUGGCAUGCAUAUAUCCUAUAUAUAACAGAUAGCUACUUGCACCGUACCAUCUCUCCUGCGACAUAGAAUCCCUCAAUCUCUUGUUUCUUGAUUUCUCUCUAAGUAUGGUUGCCUAGCUAUUUAUACCAAUUAAGCUAGUUAGACUCAGACUCUCUCUCUCUCUNNNNNNNNNNNNNNNNNNNNCUCUCUCUCUCUCUCUCUCUCUCUCUCUCUCUCUCUCUCCUUGAAUAAUGUUAGGUUUUUCUACGUUUUGGGAAAUUUCCUAUACAAAUGCCAUGAAGUUUCUUUUAAAUUUCCAGGGAUUUUCCGAAACAAUUAUUAAUGAAGAAUAUUUAAUUGACGGAUGGUUAUCAAGAUCUAUUGAUCUAGAAGAAUGGUACCUGAUCGAUGAAUCCUAAUUUUUAAUAAUUUCCAGGUUCAAAUCAGCAUCCAUCUCAUUGGUAGUUCAUCUUGUCAAAUGACAACCUUAAUUCGUAGUAAUUUAUUUACAUUCCAUACCUUCCAUUGAUUUACUGCUAUAUAUUAAUAACUAGAAAUUAAGACAUUUUCCAGGAAACCUCCAUUUCACUCUAGCUAUCACUUGAAACCAUUCCUCAUAUAUGUGAGAGUUUUUCAGUCAAAAGCUAAAGGGCCGGAAGAAAAUUAGAAGCAUGCUUGUGAGAGUUUUCUCCAGCUAGCUGCUGCUAAGAGCAUUACAGAUAUGGUUGUUGAUGAGCUGAUGAUAGUCCAAGUCCUUCCUCUUGCUUGGACUUUCCUUUUCUGUAGCGUACGUAUUUUGAUUCAAAAAAAUAAUUUAUAGCCAGAAAAGAUAGCUAAUUAAUUACUCUAACAUGAAAUGUUUACAAAUGCAUGAUGCACUGGAUAAUCGGGACAAGCUAGCUAGUCUUCUUAAACAUUAUUCCUUCUAUUUUGACUGAUCAAUUUGGUACGUGUACUAGUGUAAUAUCGAUCACCGAACAACGAAGUCAUGGAGAAAUUGCGAAGGAAGUUCUCGAAAAAUUUCCUAGUCAUCUUAAUUUCCAAAUAAUCGAAGACCAUAAGACCCUGUAAGUCACUAGAAAUUAAGUUUCUAAACGAUCAGGCUUUAACAAUUAACAUAAGAGGAAUGUUCAUACAAUAUAUACAAAACUAUAACUAAUUGUAAUUUAGAGCUUCCAUGAUCAUCACUCAGUACUUUAUGAGAUCGAGUAGCUAGACUUGGAAAUCAAAAGUAAUUUCAUGGUAUUGCAUAGGCAGUUUCCUAAUCGUUGAAUGUGGAAAAACCUAACAUCGAUCUUCGGAUUUUCCACGGAUUUUCCAAGUAAUAUGCCUAUAAAUAUCGCCCAUGCCUGAGUUCUCAAAACCAUGAACAAAGAAAAUAGUUAAGAGAGAUUCAUGUCGCAGGAGAGAUGGAGCUUGCUGCUAUGUAUGUGUUAUAUGGAGGGCAAUAUAUCUCUACAUGCAUGCUCCACCCUUCUGUGAAAUGAAACCUUCUAUUUCUUUCUGAAAGAGUAUACGUCUUGUAUCCUUUAUUACUUGCAAUUUCAAUCAUCUCAAACUGAUCGAAGGAGAGGGAGCUAGAGAAAUAAGCGAUAAAAAGAGGUUGGAAUCCUGUCGCAGGAGAGAUGGCACUACCUAGCUUUACGCAUACGUAACGAGAUAUAUACGUACGUGGUAAAUAUAUAUAGAUGAGUUAUUGAUGGUGUAGCAGCUAGCUUGUGCCAUCCUCC